GACGAACGCUGGCGGCGUGCUUAACACAUGCAAGUCGAACGGAAAGGCCCUGCUUUUGUGGGGUGCUCGAGUGGCGAACGGGUGAGUAACACGUGAGUAACCUGCCCUUGACUUUGGGAUAACUUCAGGAAACUGGGGCUAAUACCGGAUAGGAGCUCCUGCUGCAUGGUGGGGGUUGGAAAGUUUCGGCGGUUGGGGAUGGACUGGCGGCUUAUCAGCUUGUUGGUGGGGUAGUGGCUUACCAAGGCUUUGACGGGUAGCCCGCCUGAGAGGGUGACCGGGGACAAUGGGACUGAGAGACGGACCAGACUGCUACGGGAGGCAGCAGUGGGGAAUAUUGCACAAUGGGCGGAAGCGUGAUGCAGCAACGCCGCGUGCGGGAUGACGGCCUUCGUGUGGUAAACCGCUUUAGCCUGUGACGAAGCGUGAGUGACGGUAAUGGGUAAAGAAGCACCGGCUAACUACGUG
rnacentral:rRNA from 1 species